UUAUGUUUCUUUUAUACUAAAUUAAAUUAAAACAAAAGUCAAAAUCCUUUUAAAUAUAUAGCGGGACGACAAGACCCUAACAAACUUAUUAUUUAGUUGGGGAAACAAAUUAAAAAAACUUUAACUCAAUAAAUUACACAACUUUAAGAUUAAAUAAAGUCUAGUUACUGUAGGGAUAACAGCGUUAUUUCUUUUAAGAGACCCUAUCUAAAAAGAAGAUUACGACCUCGAUGUUGAAUUAAUCAACCUAUAAUACGCAACAGUUUAUAAUAAGGUAGUCUGUUCGACUAUUAAAUGAUUACAUGAUUUGAGUUCAGAUCGGUGUGAGCCAGAUCGGUUUCUAUCUGCUAUACUCUUAAGUAAAUAGUACGAAAGGACCUUGACUUAUGAUAAAAU
rnacentral:rRNA from 1 species